CUCUGCACAGAAUGCAGGUUUCAAAUGCCAUGAAAACUGUGAAGAAUAAAUUAAGAAAACUGCUUAGAAGCCAAUUAGCAACAGCUAUGCAGCAAUUGUAAAUAUUCUAGAAGAAUGGAGAACAAACUGGAGAGGUCAGAAGAGCACUUCAAAUGGAUCUUCCAAAGGCCAAACUCAAUAAAGCCUUGUUGGAUUUUUAUAGGAACCACUAGUUAUUUUUAUGGUCCAGCAGGACAGAAUUGCCUAGGGAUCCAAAAAUACACCCUCACAAAAGAUUUCAUCAAUAAUAUCCCUAUCUCUGUAUUUUAUAUAAAAUUUAAUGUUCCACUUAAGUUUAUUUUAAUAAACUUUGAAAUCUUU